GAUGAACGCUGGCGGCGUGCUUAACACAUGCAAGUCGAACGGAAAGGCCCGGCUUUUGCGGGGUGCUCGAGUGGCGAACGGGUGAGUAACACGUGAGUAACCUGCCCUUGACUUUGGGAUAACUUCAGGAAACUGGGGCUAAUACCGGAGAGGAGCUCCUGCUGCAUGGUGGGGGUUGGAAAGUUUCGGCGGUUGGGGAUGGACUCGCGGCUUAUCAGCUUGUUGGUGGGGUAGUGGCUUACCAAGGCUGUGACGGCUAGCCGGCCUGAGAGGGUGACCGGCCACAUUGGGACUGAGAUACGGCCCAGACUCCUACGGGAGGCAGCAGGGGGGAAUAUUGCACAAUGGGCGGAAGCCUGAUGCAGCAACGCCGCGUGCGGGAUGACGGCCUUCGGGUUGUAAACCGAUUUCGCCUGUGACGAAGCGUGAGUGACGGUAAUGGGUAAAGAAGCACCGGCUAACUACGUG
rnacentral:rRNA from 1 species